rnacentral:rRNA from 1 species
UACGUAGGGCGCAAGCGUUAUCCGGAAUUAUUGGGCGUAAAGAGCUCGUCAGGCGGUUUGUCGCGUCUGCCGUGAAAGUCCGGGGCUCAACUCCGGAUCUGCGGUGGGUACGGGCAGACUAGAGUGAUGUAGGGGGAGACUGGAAUUCCUGGUGUAGCGGUGAAAUGCGCAGAUAUCAGGAGGAACACCGAUGGCGAAGGCAGGUCUCUGGGCAUUAACUGACGCUGAGGAGCGAAAGCAUGGGGAGCGAACAGG